GACGAACGCUGGCGGCGUGCUUAACACAUGCAAGUCGAACGGAAAGGCCCUGCUUUUGUGGGGUGCUCGAGUGGCGAACGGGUGAGUAACACGUGAGUAACCUGCCCUUGACUUUGGGAUAACUUCAGGAAACUGGGGCUAAUACCGGAUAGGAGCUCCUGCUGCAUGGUGGGGGUUGGAAAGUUUCGGCGGUUGGGGAUGGACUCGCGGCUUAUCAGCUUGUUGGUGGGGUAGUGGCUUACCAAGGCUUUGACGGGUAGCCGGCCUGAGAGGGUGACCGGCCAAAUGGGGACUGAGAUACGGCCCAGACUCCUACGGGAGGCAGCAGUGGGGAAUAUUGCACAAUGGGCGGAAGCCUGAUGCAGCAACGCCGCGUGCGGGAUGACGGCCUUCGGGUUGUAAACCGCUUUCGCCUGUGACGAAGCGUGAGUGACGGUAAUGGGUAAAGAAGCACCGGCUAACUACGUG
rnacentral:rRNA from 1 species